rnacentral:rRNA from 1 species
UGGGGAAUUUUGCGCAAUGGACGAAAGUCUGACGCAGCGACGCCGCGUGCGGGAGGAAGCCUUUCGGGGUGUAAACCGCUGUCAGGAGGGAAGAACACCGACUGUGCAAAUAGCGCUAUCGGCUGACGGUACCUCCAGAGGAAGCACCGGCUAACUCCGUGCCAGCAGCCGCGGUAAUACGGAGGGUGCAAGCGUUGUUCGGAAUUACUGGGCGUAAAGCGCGGGCAGGUGGUCCGUUAAGUCUUCUGUGAAAACCCGGGGCUCAACUCCGUGGACUGCAGAAGAUACUGGCGGACUAGAGAGUGGUAGAGGCAAGCGGAAUUCCUGGUGUAGCGGUGGAAUGCGUAGAUAUCAGGAAGAACACCUGUGGCGAAGGCGGCUUGCUGGGCCACUUCUGACACUCAUCCGCGAAAGCGUGGGGAGCAAACAGGAUUAGAUACCCCUGUAGUCC